AUAAUUCAACAUCAGCCUAUAAUCAAUCAUUCAUUAAAAUCUGAGGUAGUACAAUGGAUCGUGGUUUUGUUUUGGUAAAGGGCAAGCCAUUGAAGAUUAAUGCAGUACAAAACGAUAAACAGACGUGCCAUAUAAACAGGUUAAUGGCUGGGUAACGUAUUUAUAUGGCGGGCUUCGUACUACUGUUUACAGCUCGGAAGACCAAUUAUAGACGGUUAUCUGCGUCUCGUUAAGCAAUGCUUCAAACUUUGUGUCACUACUUGCUCGAAUAGUUCUACUCCCCCAGAUAACAACGAAGUGUAUGUAUUUGUUACUAGGUGGCUAUUGUAUCAAAAUUUUUUUUCAACUAUGGAUAUCCAACGACGCAGCUAAAUGUAUAGUUGCUUGGUAAACGAAUAUGACUACCGGAACAGUCGAAGCAGCAGAGAAAAAACCUAAGGGAAAACGAAUUGACAAGUGGGCAAGACAAGCGAAAAAAGAGAUUACUAAGAUACGCUCCAGACAUUGUUCGACCCAAAUUAAAGAUAAAUCACCCGCAGGUUUGACUGAGCAGGCAAUGUGGGUUUUUACAAGCAUGUCACAGAUAACGGACAGCCUAUUUCUUUGCGGUCUCCGUGGUCUAAGCGUGGAUAACUUGAAAAGAAAUGGAAUCACCUUAGUUAUCAAUGUGACACAUGACUUAAUUAAUGAAAUUGUGCCGGGCAUUAAAUACAAACGUUAUGAGGUUGCCGAUGAGCCAAACCAAGAUAUUAAGCAGUACUUCCAUCCGGCAGCAGAUUCCAUCAACGAGGAAAUUCGGACUGGAGGAAAGGUUGCGGUGCAUUGCUUGGCCGGUGUUUCGCGCAGUUGUUCAAUAGUGUUAGCUUACCUGGUUAAAUAUCACGGCAUGACGCUUCACGACGCGUUUAUGUUUGUUCGCAAACGUCGUUCCGUUGUACGGCCAAAUUACGGAUUUUUUCAGCAACUGAUCGCCUUUGAAAAAGAGGUCCACUCGUCACGUGAACCGUCGGUUAAAAUGAUCAAGUUAGGCGACGCCCCAGGGGACCUCAUUCCAGACAUUUAUGAAGAAGAAUGCAAAGGCUUUCUCUGGUUACGCUCAGUUAAGGACAGAUUGAAAGACGACAAGAAAUAAGAAGGCCGGUACAGCAUAGCUCUAAUCGGGUUAAAAACAGCGGUCCUUGUACUCUCAACAUAAGCAUACUUCUCAGCCUCUCAUAAGUUAAUAUGGACCGAUAGGUCAUAACCACACAUUUCGAGAUACAACUGCCGUGAUAUUUGCAGCGUCUACGAAUCGACCAUUCUACCGAUGUACUGCGUGGGGUGAAGUACUUUAAUUCUCGCCUUGCCUGAAAACUCCUUCAAAUUAUAGAAGCCACCAUACAUCGUUGCCUUUUACAGAAUCAAGGCGAAAUCUGCGCAAUAAGCAUCUGAUGGUUACAUCGAUAGCUAUUUAAACAAAUACGGAUUUUCCUUAAGUACUUUAUCAGCAUUAUUAGCUCCUACCCGUUCCAAUGAGCUCAUCUGUACGUUCAAUGGCUUUAGUUGAAGGCCUAUGCCUCGUCAGCAGCCAGCAUUCUACGACGCGUAUUAUAUCAGCGGUGCUUCGUUUACAGAAAAAAAAAGCUUCAACGACUGUGUUGGUGUGGAAAGAAAUCAAUUUAUCAGACCACACAACGAUGAUUUUUCAAGUGAAGCCUUCCAGUAAGAGUAGAAGAUACUCUUUACUGGGACAUCAGCCAGAAAAAGUCGUGAGUCGAGGAAGCUUCAUGACUGUCUCCUCUACUUAAGGUUGCUACGUCGCCCUUUCCAUCCUGGAAUUAGAAGUUAUUCGUAAUUCUCCUAACGAUUGUUUGUCAACCAUAAAGAAUUGGUGAAUUUAGUGGUACUUAUCACGAACAUGUGGAACGUUCUAUCUAAUCUCAUCAGUUCAUGCAUGGCCAUACUCUGUAUAGACAAAAUGACUGAUGUUUCAAUACCAGAGUUUGGGGUUCAUACCUCCAACGAAAAAUAAAGACGAACAUUUCAAAGCAAAGAAACCGUGAACAAGGAAGAACAGUGCAUGCAUUACGCUCAUGAGAGUGGUGUUUGUGGAAGUUCCCGUCAAACAGAUUAAUAAGCCCGUUUACCGAAGUAGAUUUUCGUUAGACGGUCUCACAACAACGGCCGAACAAACAAUGAACCCGAUAAAUAGUUAAAUAGCCGUUUCCACACACUGCUCUCCAUACACAAUUUCGUCCGACUUUAUAUAUACCUUUUAUAUAGGCCAUUAUAAAUUAUCUAAGAAUUUUCGAGGAGUCACAACCCCAAUGUCACGAAAGUAACUUCAUUUGUAAUUUUCAAUCUAAGACGGUCGUUCUUAAUAGCAAGAACUGAAUCAAUCGUUACGCCAACUAGAAAAUAUGGGAGCGUAUCUUAUUGCGGCCAAUCGGUAUUUACAUGCUUCUGGAAUGAUUCAACAAGAACAAACUUGUGGAUUACAGUCGUUUCUUGCAUAUCAUGCAUGGUGGCUUCGGUGUCGGAUUGGUUCCUCGGCUAUAGUCACCAAACGCUAUUUCGAGCCGCCAUGGUUGUGUAUAUCGCUACAGUCCUCGCCAUCAAAAUGCUCCACACUGUUGCUGUGCUUACGGCCCUUGUUUCGAAAGUCGCUGUGGCAGUUACCUGCUGGACUGACUGUGGAUUAAUGCCUGAAUAUGGACCUGGUUAGGACCACUUUGGUUACGGCGAAUUAUAGCAGAACGACAGGAGAGAGCUGUGCCUCAUAUUUCUGCAAUAUCCCUCUAAUCAAAAUAAUUAGUUAAUUCAUUACGAUCGGAAGAAUCGAAACUUCGAGCAGUGCAAUUGGAGGCAGCAUUUCACAAUAAGUGUCCAAGUAAUAUAUAUAUAUAUAAUAUUUAUACAACAUAGAAUAUUACUCACAGUUUCUGCCGGUGAAUCUUGAAUACUGAUCUGAGCUUCUUAUACGAAAUUUAAGACGAUUAGGAUAUUUAGAAAGGGAGAUAUUUUCUCGGAUUUCAGAAAGUACCCCACGAUAUGGGACUGUAGGAAUUCGUUGCAUCAGGGAUUUAUUGUGGAUACAUACUGAAUCUGUCGUUUUAUUUACUAGAUGGUUCGAUAUCUGUCCUGGUAACAAGAAAUCAUUUUACUACACCGAUAAUUUUUGAAAUAUGAAAAUCGUACUCGGCCG